AAGUCGUAACAAGGUUUCCGUAGGUGAACCUGCGGAAGGAUCAUUACAAAGAAAGGAAGGAAGGUGGUUGGUGGGUGGGCUUUGGCUGUUGAGCGUUGCCUGGCAGGCGGCAGGCCCAAUCAAUCACAUUUGUUCGGGUCGCAAGACUCUACAUUUGCGCUUUCGAGUUUGGCAGUGUAAAGGGUAAUUAAUAAUAUAAAAGACAACUUUUAACAAUGGAUCUCUUGGCUCUU
rnacentral:misc_RNA from 1 species